rnacentral:rRNA from 1 species
AGCUAACGCAUUAAGCAUACCGCCUGGGGAGUACGGUCGCAAGAUUAAAACUCAAAGGAAUAGACGGGGACCCGCACAAGCGGUGGAGCAUGUGGUUUAAUUCGAAGAUACGCGAAGAACCUUACCUGGGCUUGAUAUCCUAAGAACCUUAUAGAGAUAUGAGGGUGCUAGCUUGCUAGAACUUAGAGACAGGUGCUGCACGGCUGUCGUCAGCUCGUGUCGUGAGAUGUUGGGUUAAGUCCCGCAACGAGCGCAACCCUCGUCCUUAGUUGCUAACGAUUCGGUCGAGCA